rnacentral:lncRNA from 1 species
UAAAAUUGGUUCAUCUUUAGUCUCAUUUGCCUGUAAUCCUUCCAAAAAUAGUGAGAAAGUGUUAAAAUUAUAACAUUUUAAUGCUAUUUUCUGCACAAAAUCUUAAAUGUUUAUUAUAUUUUAUUAACAUUCCAUUGUUCAGUGACUUGUGAGAAGCCAAUCACAGUUGUUCUAAUUAUUGCUAGUGUGCAUGUGUGUCAUGCAUGCAUUUCAAGGUGCCUCCAUGGAGUUAGAGAACAACCCUUGGGAGUUACUUCUCCCCUACCAUAGCUUCCAAGGAUCCAAGUCAGAUAGCCAGGCUUCUGCAAGUACCACAUAUAGUAAUAAUUUGAGUCCAUACCAAAAAAUGAAUUGUGGACAACAGUUAAGUCCUAAGGCAGACUGCGCAUUAGAGUAUAGCAAUGGAAAGGAGGAAAAUGAGCGUCACACUAGCAGGUACCCUGCUGACAAUAGCAACAGCCAGUGCUACUGUGUUGAGAUUUGGUUUGCUACAUCAGAAGGGUAUUUACCUUUCUCAAGUAUAAUUCCAUGUGAACAUGAACUAAACCUCAAGACAAGUCCCAGUUGUACAAAAUAUAUAACCACCAUACCCUAAGACUCAAAAGCAAUGAAAAACAAAAGUUUGAAAUUUAGUCAAAGGGUCAUGACAUCCUGAAGUGUGGCAAUUGAAUGGGAUCUUGGAACAGAAAAAGUCACUGAACAGUACAUCUGAAUAAAGUAUGGAGUUGAAUUGCAAAAAAAAAAAAAAAAAA